AAAUGAUAAUUGACAGUUUAAUUUUUGGGUGAUCUAUCUCUUUAAGACACCUGUGUCAAAGCCGCCCACCUUAUGCUUUUCAGCGGCGGUGACCCGUAAUCCCAAAAUUCAGAGAGAUUCUUUUGUCUCAGAAACGACCAGGAGGGUUAGUGGAAACUGAUUCCUGCCUCUCUUGGUGAAGCCGUCUGAACGUGUGCCAGCUCUUUGAGACGGCAUGAGAACAGAAAUAGUCAAUCGAUGCAUCACACAACUGCAGUGACCUGUGCUCAGACUUUGAUGAUUCGUCUUUGGCAGUGCAGAGGUCAUCAGGCGCUUUACCCAAAGCGUUAACUCUCUCCACGGGCAGCCGUCCAGUUCCCAAGCACUGACUCUGAAUCUGCCAUCUGACCGCACCCUUAAUCCAGAGACCUACAAAGACGGCCGCCCACUGAUGCCCGCUGGGGCGUAAUGGACACCCAUAAUGCACCAGUCUCUCUGGAAUGCUUUUGUAAUUGAAGAAUAAGGUCACUUUUCUGGUGAUAAAAGGUUGGGUUUUAGAAAAAAAUCCUAAAGCAUUUGCCUUCAUAAUUGUACUUGCUGGAUGAAGAUCUAUAAAAGUGCACCAUAGCAUCACAGAAUAAGCCACUCAUGGAUGACUGGUGACUAAUAUGAGAAGUGAAGACUCAUUUCAGUCUGUGGUAGACGCUCCCUCUCUGAUCUCCUGGAUGAAGGUGUGACUGUUGGUUAGUAUCAGGCAUUGAGGAACUGCGGGACUCGAACGUUUCAGCAACGCCCUGAGAAACAGCACGGCGAGGGCCAGGUCUGAACAGAACAAACGGUUAAAUUCAGCCAUCGCCACCCAUCGCCACCUUUUGCUAAGUGUGUUAAUGGGUUAUCUGGCCAAAGACUAGUCAUCUUCAUCAAACAUGUCAAGUCACCUCCCUUCAACUCUAGUAAACACUAAGUGGUGGUUUUGGGAAAGUACAGCAUGUGUAAAACCACCACAGACAAACGUCCUGAUGUAAUGAAACAUAAAAGAAGGAUUUGAAAUAUUGAUAAGAUGGUUCUGUUAUGUUUAAGGAUGAUGCAGAAUUGUGAUUCAAUUAGAUUUGAGUGUAAAGAAUAAAGCUGAUCUUCAAAGAAA